rnacentral:rRNA from 1 species
UUCAGAUCGCAGUCUGCAACCCGACUGCGUGAAGUCGGAAUCGCUAGUAAUCGCGGAUCAGCAUGCCGCGGUGAAUACGUUCCCGGGCCUUGUACACACCGCCCGUCACACCAUGAGAGUCGGGAACACCCGAAGUCCGUAGCCUAACCGCGAGGGGGGCGCGGCCGAAGGUGGGUUCGAUAAUUGGGGUGAAGUCGUAACAAGGUACC